AUCUGGGUGGUAUAAUGCUUUGAAUGUUGGAUUAGGACUCUGGAGACCAGGGUUCGAAUCCCGGCUCAGCCA